GAUGAACGCUAGCGGCAGGCCUAACACAUGCAAGUCGAGGGGUAGCAGGAUUAAGCUUGCUUAAUUGCUGACGACCGGCGCACGGGUGCGUAACGCGUAUGCAACCUACCUUAUACUGGGGUAUAGCCCGGAGAAAUUCGGAUUAAUCCCCCAUAGUACUAAUGAAUCGCAUGGUUUAUUAGUUAAAGCAUUGCGGUAUAAGAUGGGCAUGAGUACUAUUAGCUAGAUGGUGAGGUAACGGCUCACCAUGGCUACGAUAGGUAGGGGGCCUGAGAGGGUGGUCCCCCACACUGGUACUGAGACACGGACCAGACUCCUACGGGAGGCAGCAGUGAGGAAUAUUGGUCAAUGGGCGCAAGCCUGAACCAGCCAUGCCGCGUGCAGGAAGAAUGCCCUAUGGGUUGUAAACUGCUUUUAUUUGGGAAUAAACCUCUUUACGUGUAGAGAGCUGAAGGUACCAAAUGAAUAAGCACCGGCUAACUCCGUGCCAGCAGCCGCGGUAA
rnacentral:rRNA from 1 species